rnacentral:lncRNA from 1 species
GAUCGAAAUGGCGACCGAGGGAGACGUGGAGCUCGAGUUAGAGACUGAGACCAGCGGCCCUGAGCGGCCUCCCGAGAAGCCAAGGAAACAUGACAGUGGUGCUGCUGACCUAGAGCGGGUUACUGACUAUGCGGAGGAGAAAGAGAUCCAGAGUUCGAAUCUUGAGACGGCUAUGUCCGUCAUUGGAGACAGACGGUCCAGGGAGCAAAAGGCCAAACAGGAGCGGUAAGUUUAAAGCCAGCGCUACCAGUAGGUCCUCCUUCUCCAGGGGGGGAAAGUUUUAAUCUUUAGCCAACUCCUAAAGAUCUAGGGGUUACAACUUUGUUGUUAGUGGAAGGAAAGGUUCCUGGAUAUCUUAAUGUAAAACUUCCAGGGGCGCGUUUAUUUGCUAUUUUCAGUCAACCUGUUCUACU